UCCUGCUGAUCACAUAUGCACUCAAUAGACUCCACGUAAGAAAUCUCAAAGCAUUAUAUACUCACAGUGGUUGGAAUGAAGACAGCUGUACAAAUGUUAACUUUUACUGUGGAUCAACACCUAUGAUGCAGAGGCGUGGAAGAAUCGGUGAAGACAAAUAUCAAGCAGUUCCUGACAUAGGACUGGUAAACAUAGAAGACAGUUUCAAGAAGCAGCAGAACUAGCAGAGAUUAUUCAAAGCCAGUGGGAAGAUGGUGACUCAACCACUUUCUUGAACAGCUUAUUCCAAAGCUUGACAAUCCUUCAUUGAAGAAAUUUUUCCUAAAUAUCCAGUCUAAAUCUCCCCUUUCUGAGAUUACUGGAAAAACUGAUUAAACAUAGCCAGAUUUAUCAACAAACUUAAAGUAUUCUUCAACAGUUGCAGGUUUUGCUUGGCACAACCAGUUCAUGCUAAGGCACAUGGAGGACAGUGAGGUGAUUUGAGACAGCCAGCACAGCUUCACCAAGGGUCUAGGCCACACAAGAGGAACUUUUGAGGUAUAGAAGAGAAACUUCUCUUGAUCUCUUAAGGACAUAAAUAGUGGUAUUCAUUAACAUCGCAUGGAUCAUUUUCCUUAGUACAGGUAUGUUAUUUUCCAGCUGGUUAUUUCUCAUAAUAACACAAAUGUUUAAUUAGCCAGGUAGAGCAAUUUUCGUGGAGAAGGGGAACAACAGUAUGGCUACUGUAUCUGAAUAAUUACCCACUGUGAUGCCUACACAUCGAAGCAAAACUGAUACAAAAGGGAAGUAGUUCAAACUGAAUUCAAGCAAAUAGUGACAGCUUUUCACUGAUACAGUUUAGGUAGAUAUUGUAAUCGCACAAAGUAGCUAGUCAGGCUUCCAGUAAACGAUUUGCACUCCAGUUUAAUCAACACAUGGGUCUUCACCCAGAUCCUAAAUUUCUGUUUCUUGAACAUUUACUGGUUAGCAUGUUUCUACAAAUCUCCAGCAGGCUAUUGUGAACAUCCUCCUGCUUUAUUCAAACAUGAUUACAAAUAAAGAAAUCACAAGAGGUUAUAAGUUUAAAACUUUUGCUUAACUGACAACUUUGAAUAGAUCUGUUUAAUCUAUUAUGAUGUAAUUGCCACACUGACUUAAAGGAAUCUGCUCUCUAUGCCUUCAACAUUUUGGGGACAAUUGGAACUAAACAUCAUUGAAUAUGAGUCACUAACGUGCCCUGGCAGCCAAAAGGUUAAUUUAUGUCCUGGGGUACAUUUAGCACAGCAUAGCUAGCGAGUUGAGGAAGCAGACUGUCCCACGCUACACUGCACGGAUGUGGCCUUACCUCAAGUACUGUGUUCAGUUUUGGGCACCUCAAUACAAAAAAGGACAUCAAACUAUUACAGUGUGUCCAGAGGAGGGUGAUCAAGAUGGUGAAAGGUGGCUGAGGUCACUUGGUUUGUUCAGCUUAGAGAAGGCUGAGGGGUGACCUCACUGCAGUCUACCACUUCCUCAAGGAGGACUGGGGAGGGAGAGGUGCUGAUCACUCUGGUGACCAGCGACAGGACACAAGAAAAUGGAAUGAAGCUUGUCGAGGGUUAAGAUUGCGGGGUGACAAUAAAACCAUGGCAGAUGUAUUGUUAACCCCCUCUCCCCCCCCCACACUUCCCCCUUCCUCUUCCCCCUUUUCACUAAGGAGAGGCGAUUGGGAGGAAAAGAAGAGAGUGAAGAGAGUUGGAAAAAAAAAUUAAAGAUGUUUUACUAAUGCUACUAAUAAGAAUCGAGAAAAUAAUACAAAAUAUACAAAACCAAUCUUGAAAGUCUCAGCGACUGCAGAGCCGGCACCUGAAGUCCUGGAUUAGACUCUGCAGCCAAUCGGAGCUGGAUUCAGUCUCUCACUAGGCCUCAGUUCGCAGGGACGACUAGCAAGGUCCUCUCCUAAUGUCGGCCAUAAGCAGCAGGGAAAAGGGCAAAAGGGAAAAGGCAAAAAGGAAAAGCACACGAGAUCCUCGUGAUCUCCCACUUUUAUAUGAAGUAUUCACGUGAAUGGAAUGUUAUACACAGUUGGUCAGUUUCUUGCUCACUUGUUUCUCGUCGCCCCUCUCGCGAGAUGUCCAUCUGUGCUUAUCAAUAAGUUUGCAUUCCAUUGCUAGGUUUACCAAAACAUGUGUCUGGUUCUCCAGGAAAAUGCAGUUAAUAUGAAGGCUUUAGCUGACAGGCAAAUUCACUGAAAGAGAUACUUGUUUUUAACAAAACCAGGACAAAGCUGCAUCAGUGGAAGUUCAGACUGCAUAUUAGCAAAAGUUUCUUCACUGAGAGGGUGGUCAGACAGUGGCACAGCCUCCCCAGGGAAGCACCAAGCCUGACAGUGUUAAAGGAGUGUCUCGAUGGAGCUCUUAGUCAGAUGGUCUAGUUUUAGGCAGUCUUAUACGGAGCAGGGAGCUGGGCGCAAUGAUCCUUAUGAGUCUCUUCCAACUUGAUAUAUUCCACGAUUCUGCAAUUGAGUUCUGCAGGAAGUGCUAUACAAUAAUCAAGGUUUCCAUCUGAUCUUAAUUCCAACAGAACAAGGCAAAUUAGUGUUUACUAUACCUUCUUUAUUCAUAUCAGGUGCUUUCUGAAAUACUUCAAAACCAAACAUCAAACCAUUAAGCUAUAUUUUAAACUCAAGAAUAACCACACACUAAAAUAGUUCGGUGACUAUAUUUACACUUAAAGAGAUCCCAGAAAAUUAAAAAAAAAAAAACAGGCUUUUCAGUCUGCCAUUUUCUGGCCUUUCUGUAUUUUCAAUUUUCCCUUCAAAACAAGUCUUUCCUUGAAUGAAAUUAUCAAAAACAGUGGCACCAUCAAGGCUUGCACCAAGCUAAUCCACCAAUUAAGAGUACAGCAAUAUCUAGGUUCUCAUUUCUGAAGUGAUCAGCUCUAUGUGCUGAGAUCAACAGGUUAAUUUAUACACUUUAUUUGGAAAUGAAUUUUGGAUAAAUAUGCAUAUAUUUCUGGUAGUCUGCAAAAUACAGCAAGAGAAAAAAAUAAAGCACAAUUUAUGCACUUUUCUGUAAAACAACAUUUCAUUUUUCAUGCUACGUUACUAUAGUCAGAAAGGAAACUGAUAGGAUACACACUGAAGAUAAUUCUUUAUUGUGCUAACAUCCUUUUAAAGCCACCGCAGCAAUGCUCAUCUUCCUUGCAUCUUGAGAUCAAUUUCAUGCUCAUCUUAGAUACACUCUUUCUGCAAGAACAGUAUCUAGCUGGCAUAUUUUUAAAGGUUUGCUAGAACUUUAAUUUAAAUGACACAUUCUCAGAGGGUUUGGCCUUGCUGCUUAAAACCAGCAGAGAAAUCCCUACUCAGCUCUGUCAUCUGGCUGAAUUAAAUAUGGAAACUUUCCUAUGUUUCUAAAACUUAACCAAGUACACAAAGACUAAAAGGGAAGGAUCAGAAUGUUUAAAUUAAUUAGGAAGGGUUACCAAAACAUUAAUCUCAUUUUAUUGGACUAACAUUUAGCUAAGACUUGGAAACCUUAAGCAAAAUGAAAAACCAUCAUCAUCAUAAAUAUAAAAACAAGUACACUGAACAACCAUAUUUUUCCAUAUUUCUUACUUACAAAGCACUAUGUGAUUCAAUUACUUUUUGAACAACAACAACAAAAAAAACCAAAAUCAAACCAAAAAAAAACUCCACCAAAAAAUGCCAACGACA